rnacentral:rRNA from 1 species
AGCCCGCUCAGAACUUAAAGGAAUUGACGGGGCCGCACAAGCGGAGGAGCAUGUGGUUUAAUUCGAUGAUACGCGAGGAACCUUACCUGGGCUCGAACGUAAGAUGACUGUAGGUGAAAGCUUACAUCUCUUCGGAGCAUUUUACGAGGUGCUGCAUGGUUGUCGUCAGCUCGUGCCGUGAGGUGUCGGGUUAAGUCCCAUAACGAGCGCAACCCCUACCUUUAGUUGCCAUCAGGUAAUGCUGGGGACUCUAAAGGAACUGCCUACGCAAGUAGUGAGGAAGGCGGGGAUGACGUCAAAUCAGCACGGCCCUUACGUCCAGGGCUACACACGUGCUACAAUGGCCGAUACAGAGGGCAGCUACCUGGUGACAGGAUGCAAAUCUCCAAAGUCGGUCUCAGUUCGGAUCGGAGUCUGCAACCCGACUCCGUGAAGUUGGAUUCGCUAGUAAUCGCGCAUCAGCCAUGGCGCGGUGAAUACGUUCCCGGGCCUU